rnacentral:lncRNA from 1 species
AGCAGUGUCUCGACGAUGGUAUGUUGUGGCAGGGUGGGGGGUUAUGGUGACUGCCGAGCAGUGGUUGGUAUUUUCCUCUCUCUCCUCAUCUUCAUCUCUGGGUGCUCUGGCGAGGCUAUAAGAAGACCAGAAGGGGAAGAUAUUCAAGCAGUCAUACAAAAAUGCAAGGUCUAAGAAGGAGAAGAAAAUUGACCACAUCAAGGAUAAAAUUGAGGUCCCCAGGUCCACCCAUUGGUCUCUCCCUUUUAAUCUCAUUUGAUAUUCUACAAAAUCAUCGAUUACUUUGUUAGACUUUUGCUUAUGUUUGCGGUUUUCAGAUGAAAAUCCAUCUUGUUCUACUUCGUAUUUUGUGAUGAUAAGAGAAUUGUAUAUGCAUUUUAUUAAUUUAAAAAUCAACCCAUCCCGUCC